GAUGAAGAACGUAGCGAAAUGCGAUAAGUAAUGUGAAUUGCAGAAUUCAGUGAAUCAUCGAAUCUUUGAACGCACAUUGCGCCCGCCAGUAUUCUGGCGGGCAUGCCUGUUCGAGCGUCAUUUCAACCAUCAAGCCCCCGGUUUGUGUUGGGGACCUGCGGCUGCCGCAGGCCCUGAAAAGCAGUGGCGGGCUCGCUGUCACACCGAGCGUAGUAGCAUACAUCUCGCUCUGGGCGUGCUGCGGGUUCCGGCCGUUAAACCACCUUCAUAACCCAAGGUUGACCUCGGAUCAGGUAGGAAGACCCGCUGAACUUAAGCAUAUCAAUAAGCGGAGGA
rnacentral:misc_RNA from 1 species